AGUUAUAAAUACAGCUGUGUGCCACACAAGGACAUUGUGGCCGAGGAUGGACUGCACACACCACUGUGGAAAGGCUGGAAUAGAGGACGUUAGGCAGUGAUACUGGAGCUGCAAACCUCUGUCACCUGGUGACGCCACCGCUUCAUAAAGCUGUCCUUGUUGAGGUGCAUUUAGCUGCUCAAACCCCGCCGUGUGACGCAUGCCUCCAGUGACGUGCUGGAUGGGUCUGUAGUCCAGGAGCUACAGGCCACACGACGCAGCCUAGGGGCGAGGUUAGCUGACCUCUCUGCAGCGCACCUUGUCCUGUUUGCUUUGGCUUUGUGUUUUGCAGUGCUGAGGACGGGACCUCCCCUCACCUAUGCCAGGCCAGCGCCCUGUCUCUGAGCUGGGCCUACCUUCCCCCGCCGGGCUUGUGGAAGCUCACACGGUGAUGUGCACACACAGCAGCAAUCACUAAGGGCGCUUCCUUAGCCUGGAGCCUUAUCACUGACUGCCAGGCAAUUAGUAAGACAAUGAUUCACUUGUGCUACUUACCAGUUUUGAUGGGGCAGCUUCUCGGACUUCCUCUGCGACAUUACUGAACCCAGAGUAAAAAGGAAAUGCGGAGAGCUUUCAACACGCAGUUACUACAGAAAUAAGCAAUCUCCAGUUUGUUGGCCGUGUUUAAAAACUGGCUCAGAGAACUCCUGGAAACUCGAGCUCUGCUCUCAGGAGCCUCCGUGCUGGACGCUGAGCUGGCCGUGAGGAUGGACAUUCCCAGACACCCUCCAGGAGACAACAGCCCUUCUCUGCAGUGGCCUGGUCCCUCCUGGGCCACUCUCCUUUCCUUGCUGAUCGCUGAGCCCUUCUCAGGGAUUGCUCUCACCUUUUUAGACACGUGGGAGCUUAGUAGUUAAAAUAAAAUUGUCCUGUACUUAGUAGAUGUUUCCCAAAAAUGCUCUUGGCUGGGAUGCCUGGACUGCAGUCAGUCUGGUCCCCUGCUUACCUCUGCGUUAGAUGUUAAUAUACAAACAGACCAAACAAUAAAUGGUGUAAUUCAAAUUUGCUAUUGCCGGGAGAGCUGUUAAAGGGGGCUGCUUAAAAUAUAUUGGGCAAAACCUCUUUUUUGCAGUACCUUUCAAAGGGCUGACAUCCUGCCUGGGCCCCUUUACCACCCACUCUGAGCCGUAAGAUGUCGCUGGAGUUGGCUGACGUCCUAAUUCAGGGCCCCGACACGCUCACCCUGGAUGUUGUCACCUCAUAAAUGUGUCACUUCCAGCCCCACCUCCCUUCUUCAACAAUUUCUCUGCCCACCCUGAAGAUGUAGAAAUGCCUUAGAAACACUGAACCCAAGCCAAGACACAGGAGUUAAUUACUCUACCAACUUAGGCGAAGUGGCUCCGUGCGCCAGGUCCUGCGACAGGCCCAGGAAUAACAAGAGAAACCCAAGUCCUCAAAGAGUUAAAGUCUUGACCAGCGGGUCACAGUCCAAGGGACGCAUUCGAGCUUUAAACUGACGAAUGCCCAGGCUCCAUUCCAAGCUAAUUAA